UAAGGAAUAUUGCUCAAUGGGAGAAAUCCUGAAGCAGCAACGCCGCGUGGAGGAUGAAGGGUCUAUGACUUGUAAACUCCUGUAAAGAAGGAAAAAAUUCCCAUUUGAUGGGAGAUGAUGGUACUUCUGGAGUAAGCCCCGGCUAACUACGUGCCAGCAGCCGCGGUAAUACGUAGGGGGCAAGCGUUGUCCGGAUUUACUGGGUGUAAAGGGUGCUCAGGCGGAUUUGUAAGUCAGAGGUGAAAUCUUACAGCUUAACUGUGAAACUGCCUUUGAUACUGCAAGUCUAAAGUAUGGAAGAGAGUGAUGGAAUAUCUGGUGUAGCAGUGAAAUGCGUAGAUAUCAGAUAGAACACCAAUGGCGAAGGCAGUCACUUGGUCCAUUACUGACGCUAAAGCACGAAAGCGUGGGUAGCAAACA
rnacentral:rRNA from 1 species